AUUGAACGCUGGCGGCAUGCCUUACACAUGCAAGUCGAACGGCAGCGCGGACUUCGGUCUGGCGGCGAGUGGCGAACGGGUGAGUAAUGCAUCGGAACGUGCCCAGUCGUGGGGGAUAACGCAGCGAAAGCUGUGCUAAUACCGCAUACGAUCUAUGGAUGAAAGCGGGGGACCGUAAGGCCUCGCGCGAUUGGAGCGGCCGAUGUCAGAUUAGGUAGUUGGUGGGGUAAAGGCUCACCAAGCCAACGAUCUGUAGCUGGUCUGAGAGGACGACCAGCCACACUGGGACUGAGACACGGCCCAGACUCCUACGGGAGGCAG
rnacentral:rRNA from 1 species